GCUAAAAAUACUGUUGAGCACAUGGAAAUACAGAGUGUUAUCACAUGUGGAGGGGGAGAGGGAAUGUCAGUCCCAGUAGAAGCACCCACUGAAGAGGGACAACUUAGCACUGAACGUUUUAAGGAUGAGACACAAUCUGUUUGGAAGCGAGUCAUAAGUAAAUAAAACAUAUAAAGGAGUAACACAGCCCUGCAGAGCCAUAAGGGUGGAUCCAGAAGGUGGGACUCAAGUGAAUUCCAUGCCAAAAUGUUGACAGCAUCUGAUGCAUGUGAGAGGUAUGCUGAGCGCCCAGAACUGCCUGUCCCACUGAACAUAAUACUGUGCAGACACCAGUUGGGAUAGAUUUGAACACAGUAAUCAUUUAUUUGGCAUAAAAACAAGACUUAUAAAUGUAUCUGAAAGGUGCAUUCCCAAAAUCAACAGUCCAAACCCGCACAACAAUAAAGGUUUUGUAACCUUAAUAAUGAAUUUGGAGAAGUUACUCUCCCUUUUCUUAUACCAUGAAUAGCAAUAUUAGUAAAGUACUAAGUGCUUUUUUUUUUUUUUUAAUAUUACCUUAUUUUUUGUCACAUUUUUAUGUUUACAAUGGCUUUUUAUGCUACACAGAGCAAGAGGUGGCUAUGUAUGUAUUGGUUAAGAGCAAUGAGUUUUCUUUAGAAGAGAUGUUUUCCUUUCCUUUCCUAUUUAAAUCUACUCAGGUGAGUAGCUAGCUUAAAAAUCAUGAUCUUUAAUGUGUGUGUGUACAACACUUACAAAAACCUGAGAAGAUGAGUUGGCAGAAUUUCCUAUGUUGUUGUGGGUAACACAUCAUCCCUAAACAACAGCGUAUUUAGGAAGUAGCUGGAAGUAUUUCCUUCUGCCUCUGAGAGGUGACAAUCCAGAAGCCUCUUUUGUGCCCCUUCUUCUCAGCAGCAUUGCUGAGAAGGUGACUGGCUCUGUCAGCAGAGCAACAGCUCUGGAGGGAAAGAUUUCACUUUACUGCCCCUACAGAUGAAAAGGCAAAAACAAGGUAAAAUGACAUUAAUUUGGAUUUUUAUCCAUGUUUCCAAGUGUCGCACUUGAGAAGCCAGCAGAGUUGUGUGCAGGCAGUAUUCAUCCAUGUUUCUCAUUAUUUCUCAAUAUUUCUCUCUAACCUCAGUUAGAAAGCUGUUGUGCUGAAUGUUGUACAAAACUGGAAUAAAAGGGCAGUCCCAAAGAAAGCUGGCAAUCUGUAUGUGAUACAAAAGACUAUAAAUAAAUGCUAACAGAUGGAUAUAAGGAAAUAAUUUUGUUAUAGGCUGCUCAGUGAUCCGAAGAAAUAGUUUGCAGGGAAGAGAAAAGCUUCCUGUUUUCUAGCAAAUAGACUGUUUCCAAAAUAGGACUUUGCUCAGUAUCUUUUUACAAUCUGGUUGGAAAUUCCCCAAUAGCCUUAAGUCUGUUUAGUGAGUUUGAAGUAUUUCAUCUUAUACUUCUUGCAUGCUUGAUGAACUCUUGGAUGGCCAUAAACUGGGAUUUCUGGAUUAAGGAGGGUCAGGCAGUCUGUCCUAAGGCUGAAUAUGGUCCUGUUGGAGUUCCUUGCAGUACACCAUGGUGGUGCUCUGCAUCCAGAAACCUCUCACCUCGGGCUCUGGCAUAGAUUUUUCAUGAGAAUCAGCCAGAGGCCAGUCUGCUGACAGUGUCCAUGGGUCAUGGCAAAUGCAUCCCAAGCAGAAAAGGUCUCUUGGGUCUUUGUAUCACACCAAGGAUGACAGUCCUCAUCCAUACCGGUGCUCCUAGAUGUUACCACAAUACAAGUAAGAAUAAUUGAUGGAAACAGAUUGCUGAACAACUGGAAGCACAGGUCAAGGACACAAGACAUCCUUGCCCCAGUAAUUUUCCAUUUGUUCAUGAUGCAAAUGUCUCCAGUGACUAUCUGACUGUUCCCGUGGCUUGUUCCAGUCUUGUUGGCAAAGCAUUAACUGUGAUGAACUCAGGGCUCAUGGGAGCUCAGCUCAUGUGGGAAGGCAGAUUCCAAACCCCCAGUUCAUGUCUGUAACUCCACUGAUGGCACUUCCCUAAGUUGUAGCACUGUGCCCUUUAGUUUCUGCUGCAUAAAUGUAGACGCAUUUAAUCCAAGCAGUUCUGCUUAAAAUUGGUUGGCAUAGUGGGGUUUCUGCUGAAAGCUACUUGAA